rnacentral:rRNA from 1 species
AGUCAACAUAACCAAAGGACGUGGAUAAACUCGGGAAACUGAGGCUAAACCGCGAUAGACCAAGAUACCUGGAAUGGUUUUUGAUUAAAAUCUAUAUGGCCUUUGGAUUGGACUGCGACCGAUCAGGCUGUUGGUGAGGUAAUGGCCCACCAAACCUGUAACCGGUACGGGCUCUGAGAGGAGGAGCCCGGAGAUGGGUACUGAGACAAGGACCCAGGCCCUAUGGGGCGCAGCAGGCGCGAAACCUCUGCAAUAGGCGAAAGCCUGACAGGGUUAUUCUGAGUGACUUUCGCUACGAAAGUCUUUUGACACCUCUAAAAAUGGUGUAGAAUAAGGGGUGGGCAAGUCUGGUGUCAGCCGCCGCGGUAAUACCAGCACCCCGAGUGGUCGGGACGAUUAUUGGGCCUAAAGCAUCCGUAGCCGGUUUUACAAGUCCUCCGUUAAAUCCAACUGCUUAACAGAUGGGCCGCGGAGGAUACUAUAAGACUAGGAGGCAGGAGAGGCAAGCGGUACUCAGUGGGUAGGGGUAAAAUCCGUUGAUCCAUUGAAGACCACCAGUGGCGAAGGCGGCUUGCCAGAAUGCGCUCGACGGUGAGGGAUGAAAGCUGGGGGAGCAAACCGGAUUAGAUACCCGGGUAGUCCCAGCUGUAAACGAUGCAGACUCGGUGAUGGACUAGCUUCAUGCUAGUCCAGUGCCGCAGGGAAGCCGUUAAGUCUGCCGCCUAGGUAGUACGGUCGCAAGACUGAAACUUAA